GCCUGGGUGGCUCAGUGGUUGAGCAUCUGCCUUUGGCUCAGGUCGUGAUCCUGGGGUCCUGGGAUCCAGUCCCACAUCAGGCG
rnacentral:tRNA from 1 species